rnacentral:rRNA from 1 species
AGGACGAACGCUGGCGGCGUGCUUAACACAUGCAAGUCGAGCGGAAAGGCCCUUCGGGGUACUCGAGCGGCGAACGGGUGAGUAACACGUGAGCAACCUGCCCCUGGCUCUGGGAUAGCCUCCGGAAACGGGGAUUAAUACCGGAUAUUCACUGUCUCCUGCAUGGGGGGUGGUGGAAAGUUUUUCGGCUAGGGAUGGACUCGCGGCCUAUCAGCUAGUUGGUGAGGUAACGGCCCACCAAGGCGACGACGGGUA